rnacentral:rRNA from 1 species
GAUGAACGCUGGCGGCGUGCCUAAUACAUGCAAGUCGAGCGAACAGACGAGGAGCUUGCUCCUCUGACGUUAGCGGCGGAAGGGUGAGUAACACGUGGAUAACCUACCUAUAAGACUGGGAUAACUUCGGGAAACCGGAGCUAAUACCGGAUAAUAUAUUGAACCGCAUGGUUCAAUAGUGAAAGACGGUUUUGCUGUCACUUAUAGAUGGAUCCGCGCCGCAUUAGCUAGUUGGUAAGGUAAAGGCUUACCAAGGCAACGAUGCGUAGCCGACCUGAGAGGGUGAUCGGCCACACUGGAACUGAGACACGGUCCAGACUCCUACGGGAGGCAGCAGUAGGGAAUCUUCCGCAAUGGGCGAAAGCCUGACGGAGCAACGCCGCGUGAGUGAUGAAGGUCUUCGGAUCGUAAAACUCUGUUAUUAGGGAAGAACAAAUGUGUAAGUAACUAUGCACGUCUUGACGGUACCUAAUCAGAAAGCCACGGCUAACUACGUG